AGUGAACGCUGGCGGCAGGCCUAACGCAUGCAAGUCGAGCGGCAGCGGGUCCUUCGGGAUGCCGGCGAGCGGCGGACGGGUGAGGAAUACAUCGGAAUCUGCCCUGUCGUGGGGGAUAACCUAGGGAAACUUAGGCUAAUACCGCAUACGACCUACGGGUGAAAGCGGGGGAUCGCAAGACCUCGCGCGACAGGAUGAGCCGAUGUCCGGUUAGCUAGUUGGCGGGGUAAAGGCCCACCAAGGCGACGAUCGGUAGCUGGUCUGAGAGGAUGAUCAGCCACACUGGGACUGAGACACGGCCCAGACUCCUACGGGAGGCAGCAGUGGGGAAUAUUGGACAAUGGGCGCAAGCC
rnacentral:rRNA from 1 species